AUAGAAUUAAAAGAGACUUUUGAGUUAUCUAUUUGAGGAUUUAGGACACAAGUUUUAAAAAUUGGGUAAAAGGGACUCUAGUAUAAUUAGGUAUUAAUGGGGUUAUGCUCAUUUAAAAAAGAAAAUUUUUAUACACCCCAAAGUUUUGCUAUUUACAAAUAGGCCCAACAUAUAAGAGGGUUUUUUAGCCAAAAGGGCAACAAAAAAUUUCCAUUGUCAGCUCAUUUUUUCAGCGGGAGUAGCCCUCCCCACAUUCAUCUUCAUCUUCUUCCACAUCUUUUUUUUUUUUCAAUCUCAACACAUUCCAGCCUUCCAAACACCUUGCUCUCUUCAAACUAGGGUUAAAUUUAUCUUCAUUGAACAAAAAUGAAAUCUGCAUUUGCCUUCUUCUUCAUCACUAAACCAAAGAUUUUUUAAUUUGUGUUACUUCUCUGUUCUUGAUAGUAAUUUGUUAAUACAUUGUUUGGGAAUUUGCUUCAAAGGGGAUAAACAGUUCAUCUCAGUGAUUUAAGGUAAUAAUUUAACGUUCUUCAUCAUUUUCUAAAUUAAACAUUCUGUUCUUCUAUAUUUUGUUUAAACAACUGCAUGUUGUUUAAACAACUAGAUGGUGUUUACACAUAUGACCUGCAUUGCACAUGGUGUUUACAUAAAUAUCAUAUAUUUUUUAAAAUCUCCAUGUAGUGUUUACACUAAAAACCUGCACAUCCUAAUGUAUUUAAAUAUUCAUAUGUAGUUUAAACAACUGCAUGGUAUUUAUGUUAAGAGUUUGCACUGCACAUGCAGGCUCCAUGUAAACAGCCAAACUUUGUUUAAACAACCACAAGUUGUUUAAACUGCGAACCUGCAUAUAAAUUCUCUAUGUAUAAAUACUGUACUGACUAUAAUACUAUCACAAAUUCUAAUAUGUAUCUAUGUAAUAUCCGCAAGUGUUGUGACAAUUAAUGGAGGACAAAAUACUAUUAGCAGUUGAUCUACAUGGUGAAUGGAUAGAGACCGAUGAGCGUUAUAGUUGGAAGUCGAAGGGUGGUCUUACAGUACCGAUACUAGUGAGGAGGGAUGUUACGUAUGAUGAGUUUGUUGAUAUCGUCAUUACUAGGUGUAAGUUAUGUUGUGCGCCGAAGGAUCUCUCAAUCACUUACAUGCUCAGCAUUGUUGCAACGGAAAAAACACAUUUUUCUGAAAUAAAGGAUGAUGAUGAUUUGCUCACUUAUUUAGCUGAUGUUGACAAAGAUGGUCGUCGUUGGCCCAUUCUAAGGGUAAAUGCGGUUGAAAUUGGGCCGAUAGAAGUUCCAUAAUCUGGAGAAGCAAUUGGAGUGUUCCCUGGACUUGCUAGUAAUACAGUAGGGCAAGAAGAAGCUGGAAAUUUUUCUGGAUUUGAUUACAAUACAGCGAGGGUAGAAGCUACUUCAGAGUUUCCAGAUUUUGAUUACAAUACCGCAGGGGUAGAAGGGGCAAAAGAAAAUACAUAUUCUUCUAUUAAUCUGUCCAGUACACAGGGGGUUGAGGGCUCAACACAAUGUAGCCACAGUCGUGAAGACGGCACAGGAUUUUUCUCGGGUCUAACUUUCAAGAAGAAGCAAGAAUUGAAAAUCCUAUUGAACCUUGCUGCCGUGAAGAAUAA